rnacentral:lncRNA from 1 species
UAUAUGCUAUUUAAAAUUUAGUUCGAAAACCAACUUCAACACCAAACAUUAUAUAAUGGUGUGAUUGUCCCAAGGCAAUCCCGUUUCUUAAUAAUUCAGUUUUUUUAAUAGUUUAGAGUUAAUUAUAUAUACAUAUAUAUAUAUAUAUUUGAAACAUUGAAAAUUGGGUUUUUUGCAAAAUUGACCUACAACUUAAAGUCAAACACAAAACUAACCUCCAUUUUUUUUUGGAAAUUUGUUUUGCCAUAUUCACCCCACAAGUUCAUAUAAUUCACGAAAAUG